UACGGGGGGGGCAAGCGUUGUUCGGAAUUACUGGGCGUAAAGGGCUUGUAGGUGGCCAACUAAGUCAGACGUGAAAUCCCACGGCUUAACCGAGGAACUGCGUCUGAUACUGGAUGGCUUGAGUGUGGGAGAGGGAUGCGGAAUUCCAGGUGUAGCGGUGAAAUGCGUAGAUAUCUGGAGGAACACCGGUGGCGAAGGCGGCGUCCUGGACCAACACUGACACUGAUGAGCGAAAGCCAGGGGAGCAAACGGG
rnacentral:rRNA from 1 species